ACGUAGUAUUUAUCAAUUUUUACCAUCCUGUAGCUGGCAAGGAUGUGUUAAAAACUUGGCAAUGUAAUAAAAAUCUUCAGUCGUGUCUCCGGAGGAUCAGGCGGUGUUGUGUCGGACAACGUGACCUUCAGCUGUUGUUAAGAUCUCGCAUUGGUCAGAAGUUAAGAAUGGCAGUAAUGGUCUUGAAAGGCUGGUUGCUGUUGGCCGUGGUGGUGAUGGUGGCGGUACAGGUUGAUGUGGCGAAGGCUGCUGCGUUUCCCUGGAAGUUCCCAUCCUAUGGAGCCAAGGGACAGGGACCUCCAAUAAAUGUCGGCGUUCCACACGAGAAUUUAAACCCCGUCAUUCGGUGCUUCUCUUGCCUGAUUUGCGGAGAGUGUUACAUGAAGGGCCGUAAUGGAAGAUGCCGGAAAAUCGAAAAUUGCUCUACUUCAAAGUACGGUGCUGGAGCCUCAAGGCAUCUUGGAUAUUUGCUUCCGAACAAGAAGGUUAAUUAAACCUUCUUGCUUCCAAACAAGAAGGUUAAUUCAACCUUCUUGCUUCCAAACAAGAAGGUUAAUUCAACCUCCUUGCUUCCAAACAAGAAGGUUAAUUCAACUUCCUUGCAUCUGAACAAGAAGGUUAAUUCAACCGUCUUGCUUCUGAACAAGAAGGUUAAUUCAAACUCCUUGCAUCUGAACAAGAAGGUUAAUUCAACCUCCUUGCUUCCAAACAAGAAGGUUAAUUCAACCUCCUUGCUUCCAAAUAAGAAGGUUAAUUCAACCUCCUUGCUUCCAAACAAGAAGGUUAAUUCAACCUCCUUGCAUCUGAACAAGAAGGUUAAUUCAACCUCCUUGCUUCCAAACAAGAAGGUUAAUUCAACCUCCUUGCUUCCAAACAAGAAGGUUAAUUCAAUCCCCUUGCUUCUGAAAGACGAGGAUUACUAAAACAGGAACUGGACUUUCUUUUUUAAUUCAUAAAGAAACUGUGAUUUGGAA